rnacentral:rRNA from 1 species
CCUACGGGAGGCAGCAGUAGGGAAUUUUCCGCAAUGGGCGAAAGCCUGACGGAGCAAUACCGCGUGAGGGAUGACGGCCUGUGGGUUGUAAACCUCUUUUCUCAAGGAAGAAGUUCUGACGGUACUUGAGGAAUAAGCAUCGGCUAACUCUGUGCCAGCAGCCGCGGUAAUACAGAGGAUGCAAGCGUUAUCCGGAAUCACUGGGCAUAAAGCGUCUGUAGGUUGUUUAGUAAGUCUGCUGUUAAAGACUGGGGCUUAACCCCAGAAAAGCAGUGGAAACUGCUAGACUCGAGUGUGGUAGAGGUAGAGGGAAUUCCUAGUGCAGCGGUGAAAUGCGUAGAUAUUAGGAAGAACACCAAUGGCGAAGGCACUCUACUGGGCCAUAACUGACACUGAGAGACGACAGCUAGGGGAGCAAACGGGAUUAGAUACCCCGGUAGUCCUAGCCGUAAACGAUGGAUACUAGAUGUUGCACGUAUUAACCCGUGCAGUAUCGUAGCUAAGGCGUUAAGUAUCCCGCCUGGGAAGUACGCUCGCAAGAGUGAAACUCAAAGAUAGUGCGNGNGAGNGCGACGACGACGACGAGGAGGAGAG